rnacentral:rRNA from 1 species
GUGGCGGACGGGUGAGUAACGCGUGGGUAACCUGCCUUGUACCGGGGGACAACAGUUGGAAACGACUGCUAAUACCGCAUAAGCGCACAGCUUCGCAUGAAGCAGUGUGAAAAACUCCGGUGGUACAAGAUGGACCCGCGUCUGAUUAGCUGGUUGGUGAGGUAACGGCCCACCAAGGCAACGAUCAGUAGCCGGCCUGAGAGGGUGAACGGCCACAUUGGGACUGAGACACGGCCCAAACUCCUACGGGAGGCAGCAUG